UUUGUCUAUGUGGAUGACAAACACCGCGGCCACUGCAGCUAUGCUCUCCAUCAUACUAUCCGUUUUGGGUGAAUUUGAGAGGGAAGGAUUUGGACAGGUGUUUUACACGAUCGAGGAUCCUGAGUCGUCAAACAGUGAACUUAUGGCAACGGAACUGACAUCGGG